rnacentral:rRNA from 1 species
UACGAAGGGGGCUAGCGUUGCUCGGAAUCACUGGGCGUAAAGCGCACGUAGGCCGAUUGUUAAGUCAGGGGUGAAAUCCUGGAGCUCAACUCCAGAACUGCCUUUGAUACUGGUGAGCUUGAGUCCGGAAGAGGUGAGUGGAACUGCGAGUGUAGAGGUGAAAUUCGUAGAUAUUCGCAAGAACACCAGUGGCGAAGGCGGCUCACUGGUCCGGUACUGACGCUGAGGUGCGAAAGCGUGGGGAGCAAACAGG